rnacentral:lncRNA from 1 species
UGCUCAUCGCAGGAUUUUGCAACAUGAAUAUCAUCACCAAAACUCUACAGAAGAGAGUAAUUACAAAGCUCAUACAAGGAGCAGAAUAACAAAUAUUACAAAGAGAGGACACAUGUCCCAACAUUACAUCAUUACAUCAGCGGAAGUCGAAUUAUGCCCGAGUACGGACAAGAAUACAACAUGGCCUGAAGAGGCUGGAAGCUGGAAAGAAACCCGCCACGAGUCUCAGAACCCUGAUCUGGAUCUCCUGGCUAAACAUCGAAUCCAACGUCGUGCUCCACGAAGAAGCUAGCGGCUCACCUGCUCUGCUGGAACUUCUGAAAAAAACAACGUUGCAAAGCAACUGAGUACAAAGUACUCGCAAGACUUACGGGGAGAUCUAUGCUAGUAUGCAACAUGUUUCAAAGGACGUAAAGUGGGGUUAUGCAGCUCCAGAUAUCUGGAGAGACACUCUAAUAACAACGUCUAAUGAGAGGAUGAGAAGCGUCUACUAACCGAGGUGAUUAACCUAUUUACUAAACACCAAAACAACACAAUCCUCGUAUCACCCCCUCAACACCCUGUGAGGAAGCAAUCCAAAGGAAACUCACACUUAAGCAGUUUUAAGCAUAUCCAUGAUUAAGGCUAAUUACUACUCAAGUUUAUGAGAUUAAGUUGAUUAAAAUGAUUAAGUUCUCUAUGAUCAAGUAAUGACCAACCAAGUCGUCCAUAACCGCGAACACGGCUUUCCGAAAGAUUUAUCCUUGCAGGGUGCACCAAUUUACCCGUACACGUUUGACCAACCCACGAAUACCAAGCGUGCUCACACCAAAUGUGCGCUGGCUGGAUUGAGCGACACGACGUUUCCAAGUUCCACAACUAAUCCAGGGGGACCACCCAAUUGAGUCUAUCCGAAACGAGAGCCCGGCCGAAGUGUUGUACGGACUCAAGAGUUGCGUGGACAGUUGGUAGCGGUUCAGAGCCCGCAGGAUGACCACUCCAGGCUAGUACCGCAAUCCUAUAUGAAUGCAAAGUCAUCAACAAGUCUCCACAAUCUCUGUGUGCAUGCAAUGCAAAUGCCAAAUGGAACUCCUGAACUAUGUGGCCCCUGGAAGAGCUGAGGAUCAAGUACUAAGUCGAGGGGGAAUCCAUAUCUUCUCCCACGAGCUGUUAGCACGAAGUUUCUUGUAUCGGCGAAAACGAGAACUCAGUCCUUAGGUCGGCGCAAAUGGAACAAAUCACCAAUGCGUUAGAGCACGGCCUCCCAUCGUUGCCUUGUUACAGUUAAAUAUCAUAUCACAGUUUUAAGAAUUGCAGUUUAAAUACAGGAAGUAGCAUGUGAAUGUAGCAAUUGUGAAACCCAAAGUAAGGACACUAGACUAGCAGUCUAAGGAAAACUUCUAGUGACCAACUAGGACAAUAACAAACAUGUGACAUGGUAAUAGGAUAAGGAACCAGACAACAGGCAUUUGAAUAGAGCUGACUAAAGCUAUGCAAUCCUAAUGGCAUCGUGACAAGAUUGAGAUCGUAACUUAAUGCAAGAUUAAGGGAGAGGCAAUAUGUAUAAUCAACAUGGUCAAGGAAUGGCUACUUGCCUGGAGUACUCAAUUGCCCGGAAUUGAGCAAGAAUCCUGGAAGAAGAACACAACUAUAGUCGUCGUCGUAGGAACCGGAGACUAACGAAAAAAAAGCAAAUACACCACAUAAAAGGAAAGUAUAAGCAUACAAGAUACACAAGGUAAUUGAUAUGCGCAAUCAAAGAAUGAUGCGUGGCAUAUAGGGAUGAUGCAUGACAUAUUAAGGAUUUCGAAAGUAAAUCCGAUAUAUAAUUUACCAAGUUAAAUGGAGUCCGAAAAUAAUACACAUAACAUCUAUACAGCUCCAUAUGCAAGGAAUAGAGUUUAAUGGAUUAACUACAAUCAACAUUAUAGUUGUAUUAUCAUGCAUGAGAAUGACAUGGAUAGGUGCAACACAUGAUUUAACAAGAAUAACACAAAGAUCCGACUAGGUCGGGGUGCACACGCUAACGGCAGCAAGGUACCUGCAACUAUCGAUAAUAUCGAUACAUACACGACAUCUCAUACAACACAUGCAUAUCACCGAUCGCAACCUACGAGUCUACGCCAAAGGACGGUGGCUUCACGGGACGGUCGCUCGUUAUACCUUGGAUACGUGCGGCGUCGCG